UACAGAGGUGGCAAGCGUUGUUCGGAAUUACUGGGCGUAAAGGGCGCGUAGGCGGUUCGUUAAGUCCUGUGUGAAAUCCCCCGGCUCAACUGGGGAACUGCACAGGAAACUAGCGGGCUUGAGUUCGGGAGAGGGAAGCGGAAUUCCGGGUGUAGCGGUGAAAUGCGUAGAUAUCCGGAGGAACACCGGUGGCGAAGGCGGCUAGCUGGACAGUAACUGACACUCAACUGCGAAAGCGUGGGGAGCAAACAGG
rnacentral:rRNA from 1 species